UAGUACACUUAAAUUUAAUUUGUAUUUACUAGAAUAUUAAAAGUUAUGUUCUUAAAAUUUAAAGAAUUUGGCGGUGUUUUAGUCUAGUUAGAGGAACCUGUAUUAUAAACGAUACAACACGCAUUAUUUUACUUGUUUUGGUAAGCAGUUUGUAUACCGUCAUUAUAAGAUAAUUUGAGAGAGAAUAUUAUUGAGAUCAUAUUGUUGAGUAUAUUAGAUCAAGGUGCAGCUUAUAGAUAAGUAAAUAUGGGUUACAAUAAAAUUUAUUUAAUAUGGAUUAUAUAUUUAAAUAUAUUUAUGAAGGAGGAUUUAAUUGUAAGAGAAGGAGUAGUAAGAUUUUCUGAUAAGAGCUCUAAAUUAU
rnacentral:rRNA from 1 species